rnacentral:rRNA from 1 species
GACGAACGCUGGCGGCGCGCCUAACACAUGCAAGUCGAACGAGAGAGAGGAAGCUUGCUUCCUUAAUCGAGUGGCGAACGGGUGAGUAACGCGUGAGGAACCUGCCUCAAAGAGGGGGACAACAGUUGGAAACGACUGCUAAUACCGCAUAAGACCACAGAGCCGCAUGGCUCAGGGGUCAAAGGAGAAAUCCGCUGAAGGAUGGCCUCGCGUCCGAUUAGCUAGAUGGCGGGGUAACGGCCCACCAUGGCGACGAUCGGUAGCCGGACUGAGAGGUUGAUCGGCCACAUUGGGACUGAGACACGGCCCAG